ensembl:lncRNA
CAGUAGUAGAGCUAGGUUGAGUGAUGAUUCUAAAUUACUGUAAGUAAGUCAUCGUACACCGUUCAAGUUUCAAAACGGGGAUCUAGACUUUGUUGAACCCUAGGCAAUUUGAACAGGUAAAAUUCGAGUGACCAAGUAGCAGUUGAAUAAAAGUCAUUGAAUAAGUGUUGAAAUAAACUGGCAGAAUUAAGAGAAUUAAAACAUUUCAAGAGCUCAAAUUACUUAAUGGUUCAAUUUUGUUUCACGAACGCAAAACAUAUAGGUUUAUGAAUAUGAAAAGGUUGAGGUGGUGUUGAUUUGACUCUGUGUAGGUUUAGGUUGGUAUUUUUAUUGAUGGGAAGAAUAUUCAGUGACAAGUCCUAAGACCCGGGCGUCUGCAUUUUGUUUUUGUUAUUUUUCAUUUUAUUUUGUUUUAUAUUUUGAACAGUGCACUGAUUUUUGUUUGUGAAUCUUUUCUCUAAGCAGAUCUGCACAUCGGAAAUUACAAGCAUUACACGUCGGCGAGAAAAUUGUUGUAAGUGAGUUUCUCCGCAUUGAAAUGGGUUCUGGAGGAAACACUUGUGGGGACAAUUAGAAACGGGAGUCCCUGUUUAAAAAAGGAUUCAGCGAGGUAAUCCAAAUUCAAGUUCUUGUUUUCUUUUUGAGAUGACGUCAUUUUGCUGAGGGCGGAAAUCUAAAGGCGGCAAUGGUUUCCACAAUCAGCAAAGAAAGAAAGAAUGGAUGAAAGACUGGAAAUAAAAACAAACGGACUGACUGGUAAAAGAUGACAAGACUAGACCAUGACUCAAGGUUAACCACCUCCACCUAGAUAGGAUAAAAGGGUGGAUGAAUUUAUGUGUGUUUCUUUUUACAGGAGUAGAAGGAUGACAAAAUAUUCGAGGAUGAGUGAACCUGUAAAUGCCAUUUUUGUGUCUUGUGUUGCUUACAGAGGUAACUGCGCAGCGUUACCAUUUACAUUUUCUUCCCUACAGGGUUACAGUUUUAAUGUUUUUCUAUUACAGGAUUUCUGGGCGGAUGUGUGAAGAAACGGUGUUUAUGGGUUAGGAGUGGGGGAUGCUAUUACACUGUAUUCUGGUGAGAGUGUUGGGGGAGACACACCCUGUCUUGAAAACUGUGAUUCUUUUACAGGAAAUGUUUUUAUAGCACCUAUGGAAUGAGGAUGGCUGACUACGGUCAAUGUGCUGCUGAUGUUUGCUUUGCUUUGGUGAGAAGGGUGCAGUAGAAAACAGACAAGUGACAUGAUAACAAGUAAUAAUAACAAAUAACAAAUUUGGGGACAGUUUGACCUAGAGCCCACUAACUGGCCAUUAGGGGCUCUCUCUCUUGGAAUAACAUUGCCCAAAGGGUGAAUAAAGCAAAUUGUGGCAAUAAUAGUGAUUUAAUGAUUGGAGAAACCUGAACAUUAUACUUGUCUGUUGUGCUGAACCGUUUAUUACUCUUAUGAUUUGCAGGUGGGACCAUGAAGAUUUUUUGGUACAGAUUGCAGGUUGUUGCUCAUUAUUGAAGUGUGCUCAUAAAGGCAAAAAGCUAUAUAGGGGUCUAUCAUUUGGUCUGUGUUUUAAUAAUUUAGGUAUGGCAAAAUUAAAGGUUUCUAGACAAUUUAGGGAACGAGUGAGAAGCAUAAUUAGAUGAUCAGAAACUGAGUAUUACACUCAAGUUAGAAUUAAGAAUGCCCAAUUUGUUUGAGGUCUGUUGUUCAUUUUUAUACACACCUUGCAAAUGUGCUUAUAAGGAGCUGGCACGUAGUCUGUGAAGGUCAAAAGCUUCAUCCGACAACGGAUCGGAUUGAUAUAUUGGAGCUAUUGACUUCACGUGCAGAGGGUUGAAUGCAUGCACGCUUACACACAUAACCAUGGCAUAGGAUUGGAAUAAACAAAGUCAACAACAUUAGGUUAGGAGAGCCAGCGCAGGAGAGGUGUUGGCUUUCUGUCUCUUGCAGAGAAGGGAACAGACACCAGACGGGGACACGGAGAUAUGGGGAUCCUUCACAGCAACUGGGGUCAAGUGUCAUGGCCUUGGGGCUCCUUGAGAAGAUGGAUCCCAUAACCACAGCGAUAACCAGGAAGGGGUUGGCGAAAACUAGGAACACCAGAGACCAACGAGAUCUGUGUAACGACUGAAGGGUGGUAUAACCCCGGAAGUCGAAGAAAGAAGAAUCCGAGGGCGUUUCUUCACUCCAAGAGGAGGUGGUAAAGGGGCCUGAAGCGUGUCAGGCUGAAACUCGAGUCCGAAGCUAAAAGAACAGCUGGGUUGUGGGAAAAUUGGAAAACAACGGAGGCGUUGGGAUUGAUAAGUGUCAUAACGUGUUUGUUUGGUUUGGAAAUAAAUCCUGGUGUGAGUUGGGCUGGCAAGCCAGCCCAAAGAGGAGGAAUGUGACCAGGAGAUAUUUUAUUUUGUAUUCUUAUGAUCACAGUUAUAAUCAGAAGUAUCAAUCAUUAAUCAUUUACCAUUGUUGAACCAGUUGACAGAAUAAUCUUUGAACCAUAUCUAUGUUAACAUUAAUCUACACAGAUUAUCAGUACUUUAAUCAGUCUAUUGUUGUUCUCUACUAUUCAUGUUAUUUGCUUAAAGCUGUUUCACAGUUCGGUAAUCACUCAGAAGCCUGUGGGGCCUGCUGGACCCUGCCUUGGUUCUAUGUUCAGUUCUGCACGUACACAGGCCUUGAAAGUACAUGCACGCUCUUAUAUAACACAUGCAUGUGUACACACACACUUAGUAAGAAUAGGACAGUUUUCUGAUAGAUAUACUUUCACAAUAGACACGAAUAGAUAUACACACAACACACACUGGUUUUCUCUGAGUGCUGGGCUGAGUGGAAACAUCUGGAGGCCUUAUAAGGAGAACUUGUGGAGUGAGGGGAACUUCCUGAGUUCUGAGAACUGACUGAUACUUAUCAUGUGACUUGACGUCAUCAUUGUAAUAAAAGCUUUGUGAGAUGCUUGCUCGGGGGAGAUCGGCUCUAAAA